rnacentral:misc_RNA from 1 species
UCCGGUUUAUCACCGGCAGUCUCCACAGAGUCCACGGCUUCACCCCGCAUGUCAAGCCCUGGUAAGGUUCUUCGCGUUGCGUCGAAUUAAGCCACAUGCUCCGCCGCUUGUGCGGGCCCCCGUCAAUUCCUUUGAGUUUUAGCCUUGCGGCCGUACUCCCCAGGCGGGGUGCUUAAUGCGUUAGCUUCGGCACGGAAGGGGUCGAUAUCCCCCCACACCUAGCACCCAUCGUUUACGGCUGGGACUAC